UGCCUUGGAUCCUGCAUUGCUGUGGCUGUGGUGUAGGCUGUCAGCUGUAGCUCUAAUUCAACCCCCAGCCUUAGAACCUCCAUAUGCUGUGGGUGUGGCCCGGAAAAGCAAGAAAAAAAUUACUCUUCUAUCAGUGGGGGAAAUGUUCAGUUCCUGUCUCAGCUUAUUUCAUCUAACUCUUGAGGUACAAUUACUGUUAGUAUUCUUCUAGGUACUCUGCACAUAAGGACAUAUAUUCACGUGUAACUUGUUUUUAACCCCUAAUAUUUCUAGUCUCUUUAACUUUUUUUUUUUUUUUAGUGAUUAUCCUAGGAACUUCCAUAUGCCGCAGGUGUGGCCCUAAAAAGACAAUAAAUAAAUAAAUACAUCUUUUCUUUCUCCACAUUCUUAAAUACAGUUGUAUUAGUUGCAAGCAUUAUACUAAAUUCUGUAUUCUAUUCAGCCCCUUGAGGUCAGCUUUUUUGUUUUCGAUAGCAUCAGAAGUAUGUAUAUGGUAUAUAGUUAGGCUCAGGUAUUUUAAUUUAUAGGAGGGCUACCUCUAACAGAUGAUUUCUUUUUUUUUGUCUUUUUGUCUUUGUUUUUUUUAGGGCCGUACCCAUGGCAUAUGGAGGUUCCAGGAUUAGAGGUUGGAAUCAGAGCUGUAGCCACUGCCCUAUGCCAUAGCCACAGCCACAGCCAUGCAGGAUCUGAGCCUCCUCUGCGACCUACACCACAGCUUACAACAAUGCCAGGUCCUCAGCCCACUGAGCGAGGUCAGGGAUGGAGCCUCUGUCCUCAUGGAUGCUAGUCAGAUUCAUUUCCGCUGAGUUACGAUAGGAACUCCUAAAAUAUGCCUUUUAUGGUGUAUUGAAGAAAACUGUAAGGAAGACCAUUUGGUAUUUUUGUAUGAUCUUGAUAAAAUAAGGAAUGAUAAUAGUAAAAUUUUCCAAUUAAAAAUAUUUUCAAGGUUUAAUGAAUUUGAGCUUCUUUCUAUAAUCAGGUUUAUGUUGGCUCUCCAAAUUAUUGACAGCCAUCAUCAAAGACAAAUCUCAUUUGCAUAAGUAAAUGUGUGACACAUUUAAAACAUUUUUUAAAAUUCAGUGUUAGUAUAUUUGUAGUUGUACAACCAUCAUCAUAACCUAAUUUUAGAAUAUUUCCAUCCCAAACCCCCAGUCCAUCACUCCCACCCCCAACCUGUCCCCUUUGGUAAUCCUAAGUUUCUCAGAGUCUGUGAGUCUGUUUCUGCUUUUCAAAUAAGUUCAUCGUAUUCUUUUUUUUAGAUUCCAUAUAUAGGUGAUAGCAUAUGAUGUUUGUGUCUCACUGUCUUCACUUAGCAUGAUAUUUUCUGGGUCCAUCCAUGUUGCUAUAAAUGCCAGUAUUUCAUUCCUUUUUAUGGCUGAGUAAUAUUCUAUUGUGCAUAUGUAUCACAUCUUUAUCCAUUCCUCUAUUCAUGGACAUUUCAGUUGCUUCCUUGUCUUGGCUAUUGUAUGUAGUGCUACAAACCAUUCAGAGAUUUAAAAUUGAAAUGCUUAAAGGUAAAGGCUUGUCCUUUUUUAUUGGCAAAAUGUAGUAUUGACUUUUAGAAAAAUAUGAAUGUAUUUUGAGCUCAACAUUAAAAAUAAUGAUGUAAAAGGGGAGUUCCCUUUUGGCUCAGCAGUAACAAACCUGGCUAGUAUCCAUGAGGAUGCAGGUUCGAUCUCUGACCUUGCUCAGAGGGUUAAGGAUCCAGCCUUGCCAUGAGCUGUGGUAUAGGCCGGCAGCUGUUAUAUCUCCGAUUAGACUCUGUGGGGUAGGUUGCAGGUGCUGCUUGGAUCUGGCAUUGCUGUGGCUCUGGCAUAGGCUGGCAGCUGUAGAUCCAAUUGGACCCCUAGCCUGGGAACCUCCAUAUGCCGCAGGUGCAGCCCUAAAAAACAAAAGACAAAAAAAAAAACAAAAAACACUUUUGUACACAAUUUUUGAAAAUCCUAUCACAUGCUUAUAAUCCCACUUUUGGUAAUUGCCCUAUCCCCAGUUUUGGUAAGAAAGAUAUGACAUGUAUAGAAAAAAAUGAAUAGUAUGCUGAACAAUGCCAUAACUUCUUCAACAAUUAACAUUUUUCCAUUUCUAUAUUUAUAUAUUUUUACUGCACUAUUUGAUCGCAAAUGCUUCAGCGUAUAUCUCUUAGAAAUUUAGACUUUCUGGCAUAGUCAUUACUACAUCUAAUAAUUUUAAAUAGUUUUAAAAUAGUCGAGUUUAAAACUUCCCCAGAAAGGAGUUCCCAUUGUGGCUCAGUGGUUAACAAACCCGACUAGUACCCAUGAUGACGCAGGUUCCAUCCCUGGCCUUGCUCAGUGGGUUAAGGAUUUGGCGUUGCUCUGAGCUGUGGUGUAGGUCGAAGACAGGCUCAGAUCUG
rnacentral:lncRNA from 1 species